GAUGAACGCUGGCGGCGUGCUUAACACAUGCAAGUCGAACGGGAAACAUUUUAUUGAAGCUUCGGCAGAUUUAGCUUGUUUCUAGUGGCGGACGGGUGAGUAACGCGUGGGUAACCUGCCUUAUACUGGGGGAUAACAGCCAGAAAUGACUGCUAAUACCGCAUAAGCGCACAGAACCGCAUGGUUCGGUGUGAAAAACUCCGGUGGUAUAAGAUGGACCCGCGUUGGAUUAGCUAGUUGGCAGGGCAGCGGCCUACCAAGGCGACGAUCCAUAGCCGGCCUGAGAGGGUGAACGGCCACAUUGGGACUGAGACACGGCCCAGACUCCUACGGGAGGCAGCAGUGGGGAAUAUUGCACAAUGGGGGAAACCCUGAUGCAGCGACGCCGCGUGAAGGAAGAAGUAUCUCGGUAUGUAAACUUCUAUCAGCAGGGAAGAUAAUGACGG
rnacentral:rRNA from 1 species